AUACGUAGGUGGCAAGCGUUGUCCGGAAUUAUUGGGCGUAAAGCGCAUGUAGGCGGUUUGGUAAGUCGGUCGUGAAAAUGCGGUGCUUAACGCCGUACGGCGAUCGAAACUGCUGAACUUGAGUGCAGGAGAGGAAAGGGGAACUCCCAGUGUAGCGGUGAAAUGCGUAGAUAUUGGGAAGAACACCGGUGGCGAAGGCGCCUUUCUGGACUGGGUCUGACGCUCAGAUGCGAAAGCCAGGGUAGCGAACGGGAUUAGAAUCCCCGGUAGUCCUGGCCGUAAACGAUGGGUACUAGGUGUGGGAGGUAUCGACUCCUUCCGUGCCGGAGUUAACGCAAUAAGUAUUCCGCCUGGGGAGUACGGCCGCAAGGUUGAAACUCAAAUGAAUUGACGGGG
rnacentral:rRNA from 1 species